rnacentral:rRNA from 1 species
AGUGAACGCUGGCGGUAGGCCUAACACAUGCAAGUCGAACGGCAGCACAGUAAGAGCUUGCUCUUACGGGUGGCGAGUGGCGGACGGGUGAGGAAUACAUCGGAAUCUACUUUUUCGUGGGGGAUAACGUAGGGAAACUUACGCUAAUGCCGCAUACGACCUACGGGUGAAAGCAGGGGAUCUUCGGACCUUGCGCGAUUGAAUGAGCCGAUGUCGGAUUAGCUAGUUGGCGGGGUAAAGGCCCACCAAGGCGACGAUCCGUAGCUGGUCUGAGAGGAUGAUCAGCCACACUGGAACUGAGACACGGUCCAGACUCCUACGGGAGGCAGCAGUGGGGAAUAUUGGACAAUGGGCGCAAGCCUGAUCCAGCCAUACCGCGUGGGUGAAGAAGGCCUUCGGGUUGUAAAGCCCUUUUGUUGGGAAAGAAAAGCAGCGGGUUAAUACCCCGCUGUUCUGACGGUACCCAAAGAAUAAGCACCGGCUAACUUCGUG